GAGCUCGUCAGCCCUGUAAGGCCAUCCAUCUAAGAGAAGGUCACUCUAAACAAACCUACAUCCUGAGGACCUCACUGACACUGUCCAAGCUCACUCUGCCCUGGCAGACGAACCUUAGGAUUAAAGGGUGGGCUCAGCUCAGCGCACACUGUGUCUCACCUAAAAAAUCCGCUGCACAGGCUUGAAGGGUAAAGACCUUUCCCAAAUCUUCCUUCGCGAAGACUGACCAUACAUCAUAUACUAUUUUUCAAAACUGUCA